UUCGAACGUUACUUUUGACCAUCUCUUGAUCAUAUAGUUUUACAAGAUUGUCAAUAUUUUGAGUAUGGCCAUUCAAAAGUAUUUUAAUGUCUUUUCUGUGUAUGAUAUCACAUCUUCUACAACUUUUGAUUAUCAUCUGGUGCUCUGGUCUAUAGGCACACUGAUCCCUAAUGUCAAGGAUUCAUUCUGUUCAUGAAAGUUCUUAGUAAUGUUUUUUUUUUUUUUUUUUUUAGGGGAAAA
rnacentral:misc_RNA from 1 species